rnacentral:tRNA from 1 species
UCCCCUGUGGUCUAUAGACUAUAGACUAUAGUGGCUAGGAUACCUGGCUUUCACCCAGGAGGCCCGGGUUCGAUUCCCUGCUGCGGAA